CUACAUCAACCACCUGGGAGGGACACACUCCCAAACAUUAGCCAAUCUGACGAAAGAGAUCUUUGACUAUUGCCUCCCACGCAACAUCUCGAUCAAGGCCGAGCACCUACCAGGGGAAUCGAACUUCACCGCGGACUGGUACGCACGACACUGGAGAGACGCCAGCGAUUGGCAAUUGAGCCCCAAGGUAUUCGCUCAACUGAACGAACAGAGGGGACCGUUCACCCUCGACCUCUUCGCGUCACGCAACAACCGUCAACUGCCGAGAUUUUACAGCUGGCUCCCGGACCCGGAGUGCGUAGCGGUGGAUGC